GACAGGGGCAGGUUGGUCUCACAGACAGGGGCAGGUUGGUCUCACAGACAGGGGCAGGUUGGUCUCACAGACAGGGGCAGGUUGGUCUCUCCACCACCACGGUUACCUUCUGUAAUAGAACAAACAUGCCUUUCUAACAUGUAGAGUCACUGUGAGUGUCAUCACAGAGACCAUUUUCAUGUUUUAUCAAUACUAACAGCAGAAUGUAUCUAUUUUUACGAUGUCAGGGGUGUAAUAGGCAUUGUGCAAUAGUAAGUAAGUAAGCCUUGUCCGAUGUGUAAUGUGUAAGGGGUUAAAUAGUAAGUAAGCCUUGUCCAAUGUGUAGUGUAUAAGGGGUUAAAUAGUAAGUAAGCCUUGUCCGAUGUGUAGUGUGUAAGGGGUUAAAUAGUAAAUAUGCCUUGUGCGAGCCAGAACAGCCCAUAGGUGCAAUAGGCAAUGUAUGAAUUCUGUGUAUGAGAUGUUAUAUCUGUUUUCAUACAGAUGACAUCAGUUGUUUGCUCAAGACUAUUUCCUGUUGUAAUGGGGGCUAGAACAUUUAUCUUGUCUAAUGUCCAGGAGGUGGCAGCAAUGAUUCACGUUGAUAUAAAGUUAACAGUUCAUAAAUAAGCAUGCGAUGUUAUUGCAAACUACAGUAUCACUACGAUGUCGAUUAGGGCAGCCCCCCGCACCUCUCUGAUGGGGUUAAAUGCAGAAUAUUUAGGUUGAAUGYAUUCAGUUGUUCAACUGACCAGGUAUCCCCUUUCCCUUUCMAAUAACCUGUUGUGAAAUGUCACAGUUGUGUUUGGUAAUAUCUCCACAAGGGCUGUUUAGUGGCCAGAAGAUGAUGUCACCCAGUUGUUUUAGUAUUAUUAUGUUAUUAUAGCAGAACAAAGAAGUGGUGGCGGGGCAUAUACUGUUGCAUGUUUUCUCGUGCUGGGUUGACAUGAAUAAAGAGAUCAGCUCAUAAAAGUGAAACAUCCAGUUUGUGUCUCCAAUUCACUCAGCCCUUUCUCCUCUGUGCUGGUCACAUGAUGACCAUGUUGUUGGAUAGUGAUCCUAGUUACUGGAGGAAGCUUGUGGUGAAAUUGUUCUGCAACCGAACAAUGAUGAUGAUGAUGGUCUAUGAUGUUGAAAYGUCUCCUCCUCCACAGUGUGAGCAGCUCUGAUAAGAACCAGGCCUACUCCUCCCAGGACCAGUCGGCAGAGUGGUCAGACGAUGAGCAGGCCGCGCCAAACUCCGGCUCAGACACCAAUGGGGGUGGGGCCAACCCCUUUGAGGAGGAGUCAGCGAAGGGCGUACGGGUGAAGGCGCUGUACGACUACGACGGGCAGGAACAGGACGAACUCACCUUUAAAGCAGAAAACAAACAAUAGCAACAUCCACGGUCCUGGCAUGCAUAUGAACUGGCAUCAGUUUGAGGAGACGAGCUAACUAAACUAGAAGACGAGGAUGAGCAGGGCUGGUGUAAAGGCCUGUUGGACAGUGGCAAGUUGGGUUUAUAUCCUGCUAAUUACGUAGAGCCCAUCUAGUUGGGUUCAUAUCCUGCUAAUUACGUAGAGACCAUUUUGUUGGGCUUAUAUCCUGCUAAUUACGUAGAGCACAUCUAGUUGCUUGGGUCACCCAGACUGAACCGUCCAAUCAUACUGCACAUUGCCAGAGACUUCAAAGCAAUGCUUCCCUGUUCCCCCUCUUUGCCUGACCAACCAACACACUGACUGAACAGUCUUUAUUUAAACAAUCCCCUAGGACCCACAUCAGAGAAACCCAGCACCAACAUAACCAACACAUAUCAGCUACAACACUGGGAUUGUUACCACAGUCAAACCAUGGCAGUAUGUGUGUACCAACAACACCACAACACCUACGAGCGUAGGAAAAUUAUUCUGCCGUGUUCUAUUCCAAUGUUGUGCUGUGGUUAUGAUGACAUUUACCUGGCAGUAUGUAAGUAUGUUCCCUCGUAACACUAGUGAUAUGGUAUAGUCAAUGGUGCCUGCAUAGCCAGAAUAAGCUAUGCACUGUGCAUUGUAAAUAUUAGCAGAUUCUUUUUUUUUUUUGCAAUCUGGAUGCUAUGCGAAACUGUACAGUCCUGUUUUUUUUUUCAUCUGUCAUUCCAUGUAAGGUUUUAAAUAUGCUGUACAGUACAAAAGAUUCUCACUGUUUUUCUAUCUUUUCUAUGUGAGUUGCUCCUGUGUUGAGUGUUAUGCAGUGUUUGGUGUUUUCCCCCUGAAGUCCCCCUGAGCAACAGCAGCAGCAUGUCCUACUGGAUCACAAUAAUGACAUUUAGCUGCAAGACCCUUGACAAAUCACUGUCGAGCGGAGCAGAGCAGUUCUACACUGUUGAGCCUUGUUCAKUGUAACGGUAUACAACAGUGUUUCUCUACCCACCGUUGUACCAGGGACUGGUAAGCUAUGGUUCCUUGGAUGACUGUUUAUGUUGAAAACCUGCUCUCAAGAUCAGAUGAAAUCGGUGUCAGUCAGAUAAACAUCUGAUGGACCACUCAGCAAUGUCCCAGGGACCGGUGCCCGCCGGACCCAGGAUCCUGGGAAUGAGAAACACUGGUAUAGAAUACAUACUUUCCCCAAGGCAGCAUUGAGUGUACUUGUAGUACAUCUGACCAUGUUCCUCAUGUGCCUGUAAUUUCCUGUGUAAUUUCCUGACCUCACUGCUUUCUGGACUCAUCACUUCUAGUACCUCUGACCAUGUGUUGGGUUUAGGUGUGAGAGCAUGUGAACAACAACCCCUUCCUUUUUUCUGGUUACAUGUUUACAACAGUGGCUUUUUCGAAGGGUCAGGGUUCAAACAUUAAUUAGCCUACGUGGGCCUCCACAAAGGUUCAGCACAAAUACAAAAUUGAUCCAACACCACCCUACUCCAUCAAUGGUGACACGGGAAUAGGCUUGUCAUCAGAAAWGGACUGUCGCUGACCAAAUUAAAGGAGCCAAAGAAAUGUGGGAAUAUGAGCGAAUUCUGGGAAUUUGCUGUAUGUAUGAUCACAUUUACAGUAACAACCCAACGAGAGCCCCACUUCCCCAUGGGAAAUACUAGAUCCUGUCUCCUCUGGCUCAACACUGUAACCAUAACAACUGUUUUUGUUGCCAUGGCUUCAGUUUAUUAUGCGACUUCUAUGUCCUGUCUUUUUUAUGAAUGAAAAUGAUAAGUCACCUUUAAUGUGUCCCAGCUCAGUCUCCACCUUGCUAUCUCUGAUCUAACAGUCAUUGCAUGCUCGAUCACCAUAAAUAAGCAUUGAAUUCUACUGUGAGCUUACUGUACAAAUUGACCAAACUUUGUUUAUGUUUUUAUUCUGUCAGUUGAAUCCUAAACAUAAUCUCAUGAAAACUGAUGCCAAUGAUUUUGGUCUCUUAACUGGCAAAAUGUUCAAUUUUCAAUGUUUUUUAACAUCUCCAAAUAAUUGGGAGAAUUUGAAUCUAUACAACACACAAUCCUGUUAAAUCUUAAUCCUUAUAUUUUGAGCUAGUGAAUCAAACAGAAUCUUCAGCAGAGAUUAUACUUGUAAUAUGUGUGACUGUUAUAUGACACAGCUGUAGUGUUCGUUUCCUUAGCAACCCUGGGAGGUAGUGAAGGCUAUAAUAGCCUGACUGCUCUCUCAACACAAGAGGUGUGUACUCUUACUGACAUGGGGACAAAAAGCUACAGUACAAAGUGCACUGCAAAAAAAGGCAGAAAGCGGAGCCUCCACUGAAAUAUUGAUGAGGAAACUGAAUUUUCUGCUGCUAGAAGUUUAUUCUGGAGAUCUGGGAUAUAUGGCUGUCGGGGGAAAUUUUGGGACUGCACACAUCCGAUUGUGGGGUAAAACACUUUAACCAUCAGCUCUCAAAAUGAGAGCUCUGAAACACAAGCCUAGCUAACUCCGUAAAUGCUUUACCUGAGCCACCACUCAUACUCACAACACACACUCUAACAGGGAGAGAAAGAGAGCAUGCAUAUUUAACGAUGCAUUUACCUUGUAUUUUACCUCGUUUUGCGUACUGUAUGUAGGGGGACCAGUGGUUGGACAUGUGGGAAAGCCCUAGUGGUCUAGAAGUCUGUCUGUUUAGAAUAAUAGCUAUUUACUCUACAAACUGUAGUGCCCGUUMAUCUGCAUACAACAAAAUAAAAUGCUUCAUCAAAACAUUGA